UACGGAGGGUGCGAGCGUUAUCCGGAAUCACUGGGUUUAAAGGGUGCGUAGGCGGUUCGAUAAGUCAGUUGUGAAAUUCCCCGGCUUAACCGGUGGGACUGCGAUUGAUACUGUCGGACUUGAAUCAGGUUGAGGUAGGCGGAAUGUGACAUGUAGCGGUGAAAUGCUUAGAUAUGUCAUAGAACACCGAUUGCGAAGGCAGCUUGCUGGGCUUAGAUUGACGCUGAGGCACGAAAGCGUGGGGAGCAAACAGG
rnacentral:rRNA from 1 species